AGAGUUUGAUCCUGGCUCAGGAUGAACGCUAGCUACAGGCUUAACACAUGCAAGUCGAGGGGCAUCAGGAAGAAAGCUUGCUUUCUUUGCUGGCGACCGGCGCACGGGUGAGUAACACGUAUCCAACCUGCCCUUUACUCGGGGAUAGCCUUUCGAAAGAAAGAUUAAUACCCGAUAGCAUAAUGAUUCCGCAUGGUUUCAUUAUUAAAGGAUUCCGGUAAAGGAUGGGGAUGCGUUCCAUUAGGUUGUUGGUGAGGUAACGGCUCACCAAGUCUUCGAUGGAUAGGGGUUCUGAGAGGAAGGUCCCCCACAUUGGAACUGAGACACGGUCCAAACUCCUACGGGAGGCAGCAGUGAGGAAUAUUGGUCAAUGGGCGCUAGCCUGAACCAGCCAAGUAGCGUGAAGGAUGAAGGCUCUAUGGGUCGUAAACUUCUUUUAUAUAAGAAUAAAGUGCAGUAUGUAUACUGUUUUGUAUGUAUUAUAUGAAUAAGGAUCGGCUAACUCCGUGCCAGCAGCCGCGGUAAUACGGAGGAUCCGAGCGUUAUCCGGAUUUAUUGGGUUUAAAGGGAGCGUAGGUGGACUGGUAAGUCAGUUGUGAAAGUUUGCGGCUCAACCGUAAAAUUGCAGUUGAUACUGUCAGUCUUGAGUACAGUAGAGGUGGGCGGAAUUCGUGGUGUAGCGGUGAAAUGCUUAGAUAUCACGAAGAACUCCGAUUGCGAAGGCAGCUCACUGGACUGCAACUGACACUGAUGCUCGAAAGUGUGGGUAUCAAACAGGAUUAGAUACCCUGGUAGUCCACACAGUAAACGAUGAAUACUCGCUGUUUGCGAUAUACAGUAAGCGGCCAAGCGAAAGCAUUAAGUAUUCCACCUGGGGAGUACGCCGGCAACGGUGAAACUCAAAGGAAUUGACGGGGGCCCGCACAAGCGGAGGAACAUGUGGUUUAAUUCGAUGAUACGCGAGGAACCUUACCCGGGCUUAAAUUGCAGUGGAAUGAUGUGGAAACAUGUCAGUGAGCAAUCACCGCUGUGAAGGUGCUGCAUGGUUGUCGUCAGCUCGUGCCGUGAGGUGUCGGCUUAAGUGCCAUAACGAGCGCAACCCUUAUCUUUAGUUACUAACAGGUUAUGCUGAGGACUCUAGAGAGACUGCCGUCGUAAGAUGUGAGGAAGGUGGGGAUGACGUCAAAUCAGCACGGCCCUUACGUCCGGGGCUACACACGUGUUACAAUGGGGGGUACAGAAGGCAGCUAGCGGGUGACCGUAUGCUAAUCCCAAAAGCCUCUCUCAGUUCGGAUCGAAGUCUGCAACCCGACUUCGUGAAGCUGGAUUCGCUAGUAAUCGCGCAUCAGCCACGGCGCGGUGAAUACGUUCCCGGGCCUUGUACACACCGCCCGUCAAGCCAUGGGAGCCGGGGGUACCUGAAGUACGUAACCGCAAGGAUCGUCCUAGGGUAAAACUGGUGACUGGGGCUAAGUCGUAACAAGGUAGCCGUACCGGAAGGUGCGGCUG
rnacentral:rRNA from 1 species